rnacentral:rRNA from 1 species
CCCUUAGAUGUUCUGGGCCGCACGCGUGCUACACUGAGUAAUUCAAUGGGUACGGGAACGCUAGAGCAUUACCUAAUCUUGAAAUUUGCUCGUGAUGGGGAUCGACGGUUGCAAUUUUCCGUCGUGAACGAGGAAUACCUUGUAGGCGCAUGUCAUCAUCAUGCGCCGAAUACGUCCCUGCCCUUUGUACACACCGCCCGUCGCUCCUACCGAUUGAGUGAUCCGGUGAGGCUCUGGGACCUGGACGGAAAGAGCGUUUCGCUUGUUCUGUUUGGGAAACUUGGUCGAACCUUAUCAUUUAGAGGAAGGAGAAGUCGUAACA